CGAAAGAUGGACUCGCGUCCCAUUAGCUAGUUGGUAGGGUAAUGGCCUACCAAGGCGACGAUGGGUAGCCGGCCUGAGAGGGUGGCCGGCCACACUGGGACUGAGACACGGCCCAGACUCCUACGGGAGGCAGCAG
rnacentral:rRNA from 1 species